rnacentral:rRNA from 1 species
GUUGAACGCUGGCGGCAGGCCUAACACAUGCAAGUCGAACGAGUGGCGGAGGGGUGUGUAAUGUCUGUGACACUGCCUGAUGGAGGGGGAUACCUACUGGAAACGGUAGCAAAAACCGCUUACCUGCCGAUUUGCCCAGAUGGGAUUAGCUAGUAGGUGGGGUAACGGCUCACCAAGGCGACGAGCCCUAGCUGGUCUGCGAGGGUGACCGGCCACACUGGAACUGAGACACGGUCCAGACUCCUACGGGAGGCAGCAGUGGGGAAUAUUGCACAAUGGGCGAAAGCCUGACGCAGCAAUGCCGCGUGUAUGAAGAAGGCCUUCGGGUUGUAAAGUUCUUUCAGCGGGGAGGCGUUACCUGAAGAAGAAGCCCCGGCUAACUACGUGCCAGCAGCCGCGGUAAUUC